rnacentral:rRNA from 1 species
AUACGUAGGGUGCGAGCGUUGUCCGGAAUUACUGGGCGUAAAGAGCUCGUAGGUGGUUUGUCACGUCGUCUGUGAAAUUCCGGGGCUUAACUCCGGGCGUGCAGGCGAUACGGGCAUAACUUGAGUACUGUAGGGGAGACUGGAAUUCCUGGUGUAGCGGUGAAAUGCGCAGAUAUCAGGAGGAACACCGGUGGCGAAGGGGGGUCUCUGGGCAGUAACUGACGCUGAGGAGCGAAAGCAUGGGUAGCGAACAGGAUUAGAUACCCUGGUAGUCCAUGCCGUAAACGGUGGGCGCUAGGUGUAGGGGUCUUCCACGACUUCUGUGCCGUAGCUAACGCAUUAAGCGCCCCGCCUGGGGAGUACGGCCGCAAGGCUAAAACUCAAAUGAAUUGACGGGG